UGCUGAAGGCUUUAUUCAAAGAAGAGGUGCGUGCAGAUUGUUUCAUGUGUAAGCGAUAGCUCGUUACAAUUUUCUGUAUUGGGCAAUAUAAUUGUUUUUUGUUCACUUUCUGCAGUUGCAUUUAGAGAAGGGAAUGAUGGACUGCCCACAUGCAAAGUGCACUCCUUGUAUCAGAUUGUAAUGGCAGAGCUUGAGAAGUUGGGUCAGAAGUAUCGUGUGGCUCUGAGGCUGUCCGUAUCAAAGGAGUUGCAGCUGUGGGAUGAAUAGUCUUGAUGUUUGUAUUUUGAUGGGUGCAACUGUAAAUUCUUAGUUAGUAUAUUUAUUGUAUGAUACAUUUUAAAAUAUAGUACAGGGUACAAUACAAGAAUGUAGAGGUGCCAAUUGGCACCUUAUUUUUUUAAUCCAACCUCAUAAAUUUGCCACUGAUAA